GAGAUAUAAAAAAAUAAAAAUAAGCUUCUAACUUAAAUUUUAGCGAUGAAAUUUCGUUAAUAUCUCU
rnacentral:tRNA from 1 species